CCUACGGGCGGCAGCAGUGAGGAAUAUUGCACAAUGGGGGAAACCCUGAUGCAGCGACGCCGCGUGAGUGAAGAAGUAAUUCGUUAUGUAAAGCUCUAUCAGCAGGGAAGAAAAUGACGGUACCUGAGUCAGAAGCCCCGGCUAACUACGUGUCAGGAGCCGCGGUAAUACGUAGGGGGCAAGCGUUAUCCGGAUUUACUGGGUGUAAAGGGAGCGUAGACGGCAGUGCAAGUCUGGAGUGAAAGGCGGGGGCUCAACCCCCGGACUGCUCUGGAAACUGUACGGCUGGAGUGCAGGAGAGGUAAGUGGAAUGCCUGGUGUAGCGGUGAAAUGCGUAGAUAUUAGGAGGAACACCAGUGGCGAAGGCGGCUUACUGGACUGUAACUGACGUUGAGGCUCGAAAGCGUGGGGAGCAAACAGGAUUAGAUACCCCUGUAGUC
rnacentral:rRNA from 1 species